ensembl:lncRNA
UGGAAUGCAACAUAUUCUUAUUUUUUAUUGAGCUUACAAAAAAUACAUAAGUACUCUUGUCAACUAAAUGAUGUUCCAAGUAAGAACGCCAGUAUAGAGAGCUAAGUAAAAACAUUAUUUGAAUGGUAAAAUCAUUACAGUUCACUAACCUGAUUAAGUGUGUGUGUCUGUGUGUGUGUGUGUGUGUGUGUGUGUGUGUGUGUGUGUGUGUGUGUGUGUGUGUGUGUGUGUGUGUGUGUGUGUGUGUGUGUGUGUGUGUGUGUGUGUGUGUGUGUGUGUGUGUGUGCAUGUUUCUGCAGGGGAAGGCAGCAGAGGUCAAAGUGCACUGGCUACCUUGCUCUUCCUGUGGCAGAGUCUGGGAGGACACCUGGGAGCCGGCCAGCAAAUUCGCCUGAUGACCAAUACUGUUGUACUAUUUGUUUUGUAUAUAUUUGUCAAUAAUUAAAUUCACUAUUGUUACAUUUUAUGAUUUGUCUGUCAAUCAAUGACUGCACUGAAUAAUUAAUGUGUCAUGACUUUGUGCUGUAUUUGGAAAAGUUAA